AUGGUGACUUUGUUUUUAUCAUAUAAAUUUGGAGAGAUCACUCGAACUGUACCUUUCAUGCUUUCUUUCCUUGCUUCAAUAACAGAUAUGGAGACUUUAUAUAUUUCCAUGUUUAUGAGUCUUUUAUCAUGUGUCCGGUCAGAUAUUGUCUUGUCCCAGAAAAGUACUGAAGUCAAAAAACCUGGAGAAUCUCUGCGACUGACCUGUCACGGUUCAGGGCAGGACAGUGCUGGAAAUACAUUUACAGAUUACUACUUGAAUUGGAUUCGACAAGAGCCUGGAAAAGGACUUGAAUGGCUGGGCUACAUUAGUGAUGACAGUAGCGAUGUAGAGUAUGCCAGCAGCAUUCAAGGACGAUUUACAAUCUCCAGAGACAAUGCUAAACAGGUUCUGUAUUUGGACAUGAAUAACCUCAAAACUGAAGACACAGCCACAUAUUUUUGUGCUACAAGCACAGUGAAUCACUUCUUGCUGCCACUCAUACAAAAUCCUCAGCAAAAUCUUUUCUGUCCCCCGUCUCAAAAUUGA